rnacentral:rRNA from 1 species
ACGCUCGACACCUACGGGAGGCCGCAGUCGGGAAUAUUGCGCAAUGGAGGAAACUCUGACGCAGUGACGCCGCGUAUGGGAAGAAGGUUUUCGGAUUGUAAACCAUUUUAGACAAGGAAGAAACAAGACAGUACUUGUAGAAUAAGCUCCGGCUAACUACGUGUCAGCAGCCGCGGUAAUCUGAGCGGGCUGGCAAGGC